rnacentral:lncRNA from 1 species
CCUUCUAAACUCAUUUUCGGGAUUAAGAACUUUCUCCCAAAGAUCACCAUCCAUCCUCUCAACCACAUACCUGAAAACAUCAUAAUAUGAUGGUUUACUCACCAAUAGACCUGAUAAACCAGCUAAUAUCGCAAACCUAACGAGUGACUAACCUCGCCUGAAGUUUGAACAAAGAGUUCUUGUUUGUCACAUUAAUGAGUUCAUCAUCACAUUGCCCUCUCCUAUAUGCAACAACAGCAAGGGUAGGAUCGCACUUCUCACAAUACUUACCCACAACGCGCGAGUCAUAGUAUGGAUUGGUUGUGAGGAAAUGCUCUGGGUUGUUAUUGCUAUCGAUGAUAAUCUUUCCCAGAGCAUUGUGUACAUGCACAUCUUGACUUCCUUCACUUACAAGAUGCUCCAAGAACUGUGUCAGCAAGCGGAGUCGAUUACAUGCACAUCUUGACUCCCUUCACUUACAAGAUGCUCCAAGAACUGUGUCAGCAAGCGGAGUCGAUUCCUGAAAACCAAUAGGAUAAAAGGUUUAAC